CCCUUAGAUGUUCUGGGCCGCACGCGCGCUACACUGAUGCAUUCAACGAGCCUAUCCUUGACCGACAGGUCCGGGUAAUCUUUGAAUCUGCAUCGUGACGGGGAUAGAUUAUUGCAAUUAUUAAUCUUCAACGAGGAAUGCCUAGUAGGCGCAAGUCAUCAGCUUGCGUCGAUUACGUCCCUGCCCUUUGUACACACCGCCCGUCGCUACUACCGAUUGAAUGGUUUAGUGAGGUCUCCGGAUUGCGCUUCGUCGUGCCUUCCCGGCUCGUCGUGGCCGCGAAAAGUUGCCCAAACUUGAUCAUUUAGAGGAAGUAAAAGUCGUAACA
rnacentral:rRNA from 1 species